CCCUUAGAUGUUCUGGGCCGCACGCGCGCUACACUGAUGCAUUCAACGAGCCUAGCCUUGACCGAGAGGUCCGGGUAAUCUUUGAAACUGCAUCGUGAUGAGGCUAGAUUAUUGCAAUUAUUAAUCUUCAACGAGGAAUGCCUAGUAAGCGUGAUUCAUCAAAUCGCGUUGAUUACGUCCCUGCCCUUUGUACACACCGCCCGUCGCUCCUACCGAUUGAGUGUGUUGGUGAGGAGUUCGGAUUGGCUCUUAGUGGUGGUUCGCCACCACCUAGAGCUGAGAAGUUCUCCAAACCGCCCCACUUAGAGGAAGGAGAAGUCGUAACA
rnacentral:rRNA from 1 species